CCUACGGGAGUCCGCAGUGGGGGAUAUUGGACAAUGGGGGGGAACCCUGAUCCAGCGACGCCGCGUGAGUGAAAAAGUAUUUCGGUAUGUACAGCUCUGUCAGCAGGGAAGAAAGCAAUGACGGUACCUGACCAAGAAGCCCCGGCUAACUACGUGCAAGCAGCCGGGGUAAUACGUAGGGGGCAAGCGUUAUCCGGAAUUACUGGGUGUAACGGGAGCGUAGACGGCUGUGCAAGUCUGGAGUGAAAGGCGGGGGCCCAACCCCCGGACUGCUCUGGAAACUGUAUGGCUGGAGUGCAGGAGAGGUAAGCGGAAUUCCUAGGGUAGCGGUGAAAUGCGUAGAUAUUAGGAGGAACACCAGUGGCGAAGGCGGCUUACUGGACUGUAACUGACGUUGAGGCUCGAAAGCGUGGGGAGCAAACAGGAUUAGAUACCCGAGUAGUC
rnacentral:rRNA from 1 species